CGAGGGCGGUUUGCGUUGGGUUCUCCUCCUUGAGAGGAGAAAAAAGGGAAUAAGGUGAAAAGCCUUGGCUGCCCCUGCAACUGUAAACGGUUAACAGAAAACCAAAAGCCACUGAAUAUUUUUGGGAAGGCGGUUUUUUUAAUGCCGUGAGCCAGGAGACCGACCCAAUGCAGUCGUUCCAC
rnacentral:ncRNA from 2 species